UACGAGGGGGGCGAGCGUUGUUCGGAAUUAUUGGGCGUAAAGGGUGCGUAGGCGGUUCCGCAAGUCCUGUGUGAAAUCUUCGGGCUCAACUCGAAGUCUGCACGGGAAACUGCGGGGCUUGAGUGUGGGAGAGGUGAGUGGAAUUCCCGGUGUAGCGGUGAAAUGCGUAGAUAUCGGGAGGAACGACCUGUGGCGAAAGCGGCGCACUGGACCACAACUGACGCUGAGGCGCGAAAGCUAGGGGAGCAAACAGG
rnacentral:rRNA from 1 species